CAUAAAAUUAUAUUAUUUUUUAAAUUUGAUUCUACUGUGACAAAUAAAUUUGAAUAAUUGAAAAUAAAUAAAAUUUUUAAAAUAAAAAUUUACCUUCAAAUUUGGAUGUUAACACCAAAAUUUAUAUUUGAAAAUUGGUGAGUAAAAAGAAAAUUGAUUUGGAUAUUGUAAUUUUGUUCUUUAGGUCUGAGGUAGUCUAAAGAAAUACAACUUACAGGGCAGUUGGAGAUAAUUUCAUUUGUUUGUUGCAUGAUGUUUGUUGGCAGGCCCUUCACAGAUCUCCAGGAGUGUUUUUCUGCAUUGAAAUAAUACUCAAAAACUUGUGCACUCACUUUCUGUCCUUUGAUACUGUGUCUUCACAGGUCGUUAGACUACAGCUGAUAUCCAAUGGGGGCAAGAGCGAUCACAAAGAUCAUGUUACAAAUACAAGGGUAUGCUCAAUCUGAAGAUGUGUUUUGGUUUGCUUUGUGCAGGACGGGAUCAGAGAUACAUCAUGAGUCACACGAUUAUAGUGCCACUGACAUGUUCUUACGUGGUGAAUGAGAGAGAACUAUGAGAAUUAUCUUCAGAUCAGAGGGAAUUGAAGUCCAAAUUAUUAUACCAGCCAAUCUGCAGUGGAACAAGCUGGAGAAGAAUAAAUCACUAAGAAGUUCUCUAGGAAAGGGCAUUGAAUUUAUUUAAAAGAAAUACUUGGAAAACACAACAAGGGUAAAGGACAGCCUGUUUACUAGUACACACCUGAAUCCGGGGCAAGAAUGCAAACAGAAGCCCAUGUAUCAUCUGUCUAAAUAUUUAGAAGGUAUAAACCAGGGCAACAAACUGUUAAAUAAAAUGUUCUAUCCUCCUACUUUAACAAGUAUACUUUAUUUUUACCUACACAUUUUUAUUUAUUGUGAUAGAAAAUCUAUAAAACAAAACAUUUGCCAUUUCAACAACUUUUACAUGCAUAAUUCAAUGACAUUAAUUAUGUUCACUGUGUCAUGCAACCAUCACCACUAUCCAUUUCUAAAUUUUUCUAUCAGUGCCCCUCAAGCGUAACUCUCUCUUUUCCUCUCCCAUGCACCCUUGGUUAACCACUCAUAAACUUUGGUCUUCAUGCGUUUGCCUAUUCUAGAUAUUUCAUAUAAAUGGAAUCCUAUAUUAGUUGUCAUUUUGUGUUGCUAUGAGUCAGAAUCGACUCGAUGGCAAAGGGUUUGUUCUGGAUUUUUUUGUGUUUGACUUAUUUCAUUCAGCAUAAUGUUUUCAAGGUUCAUUCAUGUUGUAGCAUGUAUCAGGACCUGAUUUCUCUUUAUGGCUGGUUCAUAUCCCAUUGUAUGUGUGUACCACAUUUUGGUUAUCUAUUUAUUGAUGGGCACUUGGGUUGUUUCCACCUUUUGGCUAUUGUGAAUAGCGCUACAAUGAACACUGGUGUACAAAUAGACAAGUAUACUUUUAUAACGACCUGGAAGGGCAGGUUUGAAUUUAGAGUUCUCAGACUGUUUGGAGUUUUCCAAUAGCACAUGAACAGAAAGCUGACUCCCUAGCCUAUAGGCAGACCCUUUUCUAUUUCUACCCAUUGCCUGAUCCCAUACUGCAAAGGGCCUUGUGUGGACACCCCAAACUGCACAUCUAAACUCUUUCCACACCCUCCACAAAACAUCUCCCUUAA